GUAAAAAACUGGAAUCGGAGCUGGAGAGAUUGCAUAUUCAUUUUCUGCUUCUAAAUACAAAAUAUUACUUGAUAAUUGACAGCAAUCACAAUGUCCAAUAAAAUACUUGCGUAUGUGCAACCGAGGAAAACAGUCGUGGCUCGUAAUUUUGUAUUACAUGAUUUUGGUGUUACUGGCUCUUCGAUGAUACUCAAAAGAUCAUUAUUUUGAUUUAAAUUGUUGUAUAGAUGAUUGUAGAAUAUUUUAAGACAAUAAAUUUCAAUUACUUGAAAUUAAAAUAACUUGACAAAAUUUGCUUACACGACUGAAUUUUAAGAUAUAAACGAAGAAAAUUUCCAAAUAAAUGGAUUACAAUUUACUUAAACAAUUGUAAUUUAAAACACACCUUUACA